GUAGGGUGCAAGCGUUAAUCGGAAUUACUAGGCGUAAAGCGUGCGCAGGCGGUUAUGCAAGACAGAGGUGAAAUCCCCGGGCUCAACCUGGGAACUGCCUUUGUGACUGCAUGGCUAGAGUACGGUAGAGGGGGAUGGAAUUCCGCGUGUAGCAGUGAAAUGCGUAGAUAUGCGGAGGAACACCGAUGGCGAAGGCAAUCCCCUGGACCUGUACUGACGCUCAUGCACGAAAGCGUGGGGAGCAAACAGGAUUAGAUACCCUGGUAGUCCACGCCCUAAACGAUGUCAACUGGUUGUUGGGAGGGUUUCUUCUCAGUAACGUAGCUAACGCGUGAAGUUGACCGCCUGGGGAGUACGGCCGCAAGGUUG
rnacentral:rRNA from 1 species